rnacentral:tRNA from 1 species
GCCAUCUUAGCUCAGCCGGUAGAGCGCCUGACUUGUAAUCACGAGGUCCCCGGUUCGACCCCGGGAGAUGGCU